GACGUAGGGUGCGAGCGUUGUCCGGAUUUAUUGGGCGUAAAGAGCGCGCAGGCGGUCGUUCAAGUCGCGUGUGAAAGCCCUGGGCUCAACCUGGGAAUGGCAUUGGAAACUGGCGACCUAGAGUGCGGUAGAGGGUAGUGGAAUUCCCGGUGUAGCAGUGAAAUGCGUAGAGAUCGGGAGGAACAUCCGUGGCGAAGGCGACUACCUGGACCAGCACUGACACUGAGGCACGAAAGCCAGGGGAGCGAACGGG
rnacentral:rRNA from 1 species